AACAGGGAACCCGGUGCGAAUCCGGGGCUGCCCCGCAGCGGUGAGCGGGAACGAGAGCCGUCAACUGAGCACUGGGCCCGACGGGGCCCGGGAAGCGACGGCCGGUAGGCCAGCGCGUCGCCAACGCGCCCGCCCGCGAGUCCGAAGACCU
rnacentral:ncRNA from 1 species